CCUACGGGGGGCAGCAGUGAGGAAUAUUGGUCAAUGGGCGCGAGCCUGAACCAGCCAAGCAGCGUGAAGGAUGAUUGCCCUACGGGUUGUAAACUUCUUUUUUAAAGGAAUAAAGUGAGGCACGUGUGCCUUUUUGUAUGAACUUUAUGAUUAAGGACCGGUUAACUCCGUGCCAGCAGCCGCGGUAAUCCGGAGGAUCCGACCGUUUUCCGGAUUUAUUGGGUUUAAGGGGGGCGUGGAUGGGUUGUUAAGCCAGGUGUGAAUGCAUGCGGCUAAACCGUAGAAUUGCAAUUGAUACUGGCAGGCUGGAAUGCGGUUGAGGUAGGAGGAAUGCGUGGUGUAGCGGUGAAAUGCAUAGAUAUCACAAAGAACACCGAUUGCGAAGGCAGCUUACGAAACUGCGACUGACGUUGAUGCUCGAAAGUGUGGGUAUCAAACAGGAUUAGAUACCCUAGUAGUC
rnacentral:rRNA from 1 species